rnacentral:rRNA from 1 species
CAGAACGAACGCUGGCAGCAGGCUUAACACAUGCAAGUCGAACGGAUCCUUCAGGGUCAGUGGCAGACAGGUGAGUAACGCGUGGGAACGUACCCUUCUCUACGGAAUAACGCAUGGAAGCGUGUGCUAAUACCGUAUACGUCCGACUUUCUUGGCGGAGAUCGGAGAAAGAUUUAUCGGAGAAGGAUCGGCCUGCGUUGGAUUAGCUAGUUGGUAGGGUAAUGGUCCACCAAGGCGACGACCCAUAGCUGGUCUGAGAGGAUGAUCAGCCACAUUAGGACUGAGACACGGCCCAAGCUCCUACGGGAGGCAGCAGUAGGGAAUAUUGGACAAUGGGCGCAAGCCUGAUCCAGCCAUGCGGCGUGAGUGAUGAAGGUCCUAGGGUUGUAAAGCUCUCUCACCGAUGAAGAUAAUGACUGUAGUCGGAGAAGAAGCUCCGGCUAACUU